GAGUUUGAUCAUGGCUCAGAUUGAACGCUGGCGGAAUGCUUUACACAUGCAAGUCGAGCGGCAGCGCGGGGCAACCUGGCGGCGAGCGGCGAACGGGUGAGUAAUGCAUCGGAACGUGUCCAUGUCGUGGGGGAUAGCCCGGCGAAAGCCGGAUUAAUACCGCAUACGCCCGAGAGGGGAAAGUGGGGGACCGCAAGGCCUCACGCGAUUGGGUCGGCCGAUGUCCGAUUAGCUAGUUGGCGGGGUAAAGGCCCACCAAGGCAAUGAUCGGUAGCUGGUCUGAGAGGAUGAUCAGCCACACUGGGACUGAGACACGGCCCAGACUCCUACGGGAGGCAGCAGUGGGGAAUUUUGGACAAUGGGGGCAACCCUGAUCCAGCCAUUCCGCGUGAGUGAAGAAGGCC
rnacentral:rRNA from 1 species